GUUACAGUCUCCAGAGAUUAAAUCGAUCUAGCUAUAUCCAGCCCCAAGGGAAACAAGGUAUCAUGUCCCAGUUGAUUUAGAAUCCAUAUUUAGUGAGUUUAUGGAAUCACCACCACAUCCUGGACAUGCAACUAGCCAACAUAAUCCAACUCCCAAAACUCAGAACACACAAAACCAAAGCUGCAAACUAUAGAUAAAUUUCACUAAUCAAUUUUGAUAUGAAAAUCUACGCAAAACUUCUAACCUCUAGACUAAAUCCGGCAUGGUCUACUAUGACUAUGACUGACCCGGAUCAGGUGGGGUUUAUCCCCAACAGACAACUGUAUGAAAACACUCACAGGAAAGCAGUUUUGAAUUGGUGGGCACACAAGAAGUGAACAUCUUCUCUGUCCGAUCAUUGGAUGCAAAGAAUGCGUUUGACCGGGUGCUUUGGCCAUAUAGGUUUAGACUUCUAGAACACAUGAGCAUCCUGCCUCACCUCCUUCAUUCGUGCUGUCAAGGCACUUUACGC